CCAGGGAAGCCAUCAGCCGCGUCUGCGAAGCCAUCCCUGGCACCAAGGGAGCCUUCAGGAAGAGAAAGCCUCCGAGCAAAAUGCUGUCCAGCAUCCUGGGCAAGAGCAACCUCCAGUUUGCGGGGAUGAGCAUCUCCCUGACCAUCUCCACCGCCAGCCUGAACCUGCGGACACCCGACUCGAAGCAGAUUAUAGCGAACCAUCACAUGCAGUCCAUCUCCUUUGCCUCCGGGGGAGACCCGGACACAACAGACUACGUCGCAUACGUAGC